GACGAACGCUGGCGGCGUGCUUAACACAUGCAAGUCGAACGGAAAGGCCCUGCUUUUGUGGGGUGCUCGAGUGGCGAACGGGUGAGUAACACGUGAGUAACCUGCCCUUGACUUUGGGAUAACUUCAGGAAACUGGGGCUAAUACCGGAUAGGAGCUCCUGCUGCAUGGUGGGGGUUGGAAAGUUUCGGCGGUUGGGGAUGGACUCGCGGCUUAUCAGCUUGUUGGUGGGGUAGUGGCUUACCAAGGCUUUGACGGGUAGCCGGCCUGAGAGGGUGACCGGCUACAUUGGGACUGAGAUACGACCCAGACUCCUACGGGAGGCAGCAGUGGGGAAUAUUGCACAAUGGGCGGAAGCCUGAUGCAGCAACGCCGCGUGCGGGAUGACGGCCUUCGGGUUGUAAACCGCUUUCGCCUGUGACGAAGCGUGAGUGACGGUAAUGGGUAAAGAAGCACCGGCUAACUACGUG
rnacentral:rRNA from 1 species